CCUACGGGAGGCAGCAGUGAGGAAUAUUGGUCAAUGGACGAGAGUCUGAACCAGCCAAGUAGCGUGAAGGAUGACUGCCCUAUGGGUUGUAAACUUCUUUUAUAUGGGAAUAAAAUGUUCCACGUGUGGGCUUUUGUAUGUACCAUAUGAAUAAGGAUCGGCUAACUCCGUGCCAGCAGCCGCGGUAAUACGGAGGAUCCGAGCGUUAUCCGGAUUUAUUGGGUUUAAAGGGAGCGUAGGUGGUUUGUUAAGUCAGUUGUGAAAGUUUGCGGCUCAACCGUAAAAUUGCAGUUGAAACUGGCAGUCUUGAGUACAGUAGAGGUGGGCGGAAUUCGAGGUGUAGCGGUGAAAUGCUUAGAUAUCACGAAGAACUCCGAUUGCGAAGGCAGCUCACUGGACUGCAACUGACACUGAGGCUCGAAAGUGUGGGUAUCAAACAGGAUUAGAUACCCUUGUAGUC
rnacentral:rRNA from 1 species